rnacentral:lncRNA from 1 species
GUGAGGUCCCUCUCCACACUGCACCUGCCACCCUGGGGCUCCCCACCCACCUGCGCAGGAGGGAGGAGCAGGGGACACCCUUGGGAGGGCGUUUCCUUUAAAAACAUCAGACCACGAACCAGGGCCCAAUGGGGCGGCCCAGAGGCAGUGGAAGGGAAAGCGGAGCUCGAUCUGGGUUUCGGCCCCAGCAAGUCCCCUCCCCCGGUUGACCCAAAUUUCCCACUAUAAAGUGAAGGCGGGAGCUGGACUCCAGCUCGCGGAGGAAAUCCGGCCGCCGCGCAGCGGGCUGAGGUGGAAGGUGUCAUCGGUCAUCCUCGUCAUCUUGAUAUUCACCUGGGACCCUUGUGGGAACCUCUUUCCCUAGUUUGCCACCAGCUCUGCCUCUCCCUCACCCACCUGUGACCCAAGCACAUUCUCGUGACCUCUCUGAGCCUCAGUUUCCUUAUCUGUCAAGUCGAGAUCACAGCACUGACCUCCAGGGCUCACUGGGAAGCGGGGAUGAGGUGGUGCGCAUUGCAGUGACUGGCACCGGCUGUGAGCUCAGAACACGGCGGCUGGAGCUAUCCGCCAGCAACUCUUAAGCCAAAGCCCUCACCGGGCUGCCUGCCAGCUGUCAGAGACCAAGCUCCAGCCAAAGACUCCACCUCGGGCCGGCCUCGCCACUGUCCCUCCUUGAAGGCAUGAUUGGUCUCUUCUCCCCUAUGAUAAAUUGAGCCACGCAGAGGAGAGGUAACUCCCUCCUGUCCUCAGAGUGUCCCGAAGACCCUCCUUUGCCUGGUGAGUGACAUACUAGAGCCCGCACGGUGACAGCUCAGGUAUGUGGCACCCCUCGGACCCACCCCUCCCUGGGUGGAGUGGCCCAGCUGUGGUGGGCACUUCCUCACCCAGCCGUGGGCACAGGCCAGACCCUGAGCCCAGCGGCCCUGUAAUUUCAGAUGUAGCUGGGCAUGUGUGUGUUAUUGGGUGAUACUUAAAUCCUAACCUUUUCAAAAGCAAACCCAAGUAAGCACAUAUUGGAGAACCAUAAUUCCAAGCUUGGAGGCCUCCCUCAAGGCGAUGGGGAGUGUGGCAUCGUGACCGCUAACCCGGUCCCUCCGCGGCCUUGGGUUUAAAAGCGUCUGUGUCCAGCCGGGAGGUGAACUCCUGACAGCAACGCCCGUCCAGCCCACACCUCUGCCUGGCAGUGUGCAGCAGGACCCCUGAAGCCCAAGUCGAGAGCAGCGCCUGGUCUCCACCCGAGACUGGGUGGCGGAGAAGCGCUGCCUCUGACCUCAGUGAGCAUGGAGAGGCGGUGACAGGUUUGGACAGUAGAGAUUUCAGCAAUUUCUGGAAGGUCUGAACAGGACCUGCCUCGGAAGCAGAAUCGGAUUCCGCUGACUGGGACAACGUCACGUGACAGCGAGUCCAGCGCCCGGGGCCUGGGAGAACAAAGGCGGCUGACCCGUCACAGGAGCUGCACGGCAAUGCAUCUGAGACCAUGCGGUGUCACCUUCACAGAAGUGCUCUGGCACAGAGACUCCAGCCUUGCCGGCCUCUCGCCUCCCAAGCACAGAAGCCUCCAGAACGCUGCUUCAAGGACAAGCCCAGGAGACCUGCCAUGCUCAUGCGUGUCUUUGGAAACAGGUUCUCUAAAUUUUGCUUGUGGUUUGUUAAAAAAAAAAAAAAAAUCAGAAGUGUAAUCAAAGACUUCAACAAACGAAGCACCAAAACACUUCAGCUUUGAAAUGUAGAAUUGCAAUGACUGGAAACACGGCUCGCAAAGCAAAAGACAUUAAAAUUCAGUCAUCCCUACAGAAGCCGGACAGGAAUUGAUCACAUCCACUAGUGAAGGCUCAGAAAGUGACAAGAUUUCAUUUGGAAAUCGUACCUGUGUCCUUGGGAACAUCCUGAACCUUGGGAAGCAUCAGCUCAUGGAGUUCCUAUUAACUGGAUAAAUUUAUAUUCUAGAUUGAAAUGGAAUGGAAUUAAGUAGGCCCACGGUUUUGCAGCACGUACAUUUGAAGAAUCAUUAAAAAUCAUCAUAGAAACAAUUUAUUUGACGAGAUUUGUCUUGUACAAAUAUUUGUUAAAUAUUUGUACUCCGAACGGAGGCCAAAAGACAGCACCUGUGGGAAACUUUAGGCUGAAAUAUUUACACAUUUCAACGCAAAAUGUCAGAACUGAGAAUCUGCCGUGUGCUCACAAGGUACCCCAACCCUGCAGAGAGAGACAAUUUUCUUGAUCCAAAUGUCAUCAUCUACCCAGAAGUGUCCAUGGACAGCACAGAUUCACAUUCUGGGGCCGUUAAAAUGUGAAUGUGAGCUAUCAAUGGACACUUCUGGGUAGAUCAUGACCUUUGGAUUAAUUAAGAUUGAUCCAGGCCCGGCGCAGUGGCUCAUGCCUGUAAUCCCAACACUUUGGGAGGCCGAGGUGGGCAUAUCACUAGAGGUCGGGAGUUCGAGUCCAGCCUGGCCAAUUUGGUAAAAACUGUCUCUACUGAAAAUACAAAAAUUAGCUGGGCACGGUGGCAGGUGCCUUUAAUCCCAGCUGCUUGGGAGGCUGAGGCAUGAGAAUCGCUUGAACCCAGGAGGAAGAGGUUGCCGUGAGCCAAGAUUGCGCCACUGCACUCUAGCCUGGGUGACAGAGUGAGACUCCAUCUCAAAACAAACAAACAAACAAACAACCCAAAAAAUUAGC